CGCCAUGUUCGCAUCAAUUCACCAGAAUUGGAUGCUGGUAGCUGGGGAAAUAUUAAUCAACACGAUAUCGAUGUAGAACGCUAAGAUUGCGUUGAUCCACUAUUUUAAGGUUCCAAAGUGGCUUCAAAGGAAGUCCGAAAAAUCCAAAACUUGUUCGAAAACACCUACGGACAUUCCUGAUCAUGAAUCAACCUAAACAUCAACAUUUAAUGAAUGUAGACCUCACAAAAUAAGAUUGCCA
rnacentral:lncRNA from 1 species